AAAAAUGUUUAAUUAAUCACCGAGAUUUAAACUGACUUUUAGAGACACCUUCUUAGCAGGUACCCAGUUCCCCAAAGUUUCUCACAUCCAUGGCACUCACUAUAACCUUAGCAAAGGUUAUCAGGAUCUUCUGUUGACUGUGCUGUUCUCUCUGUACUUUUGGCCUCUUGCAAACACUGUCCCUCCCAACAGUCCAUGCUGACAGUUUCAAGCUGGUGUGAUCGCGUCUGUCUAGUCAGAUGCUAACUUUCUGCUUCCCAGAGGUAUGUCUCUCAAAGUUGAUCAGCUGACCUGAGGAACCAUUUGGAAAGAUUCCUUCCUUCAAUAUCUCUGGCCGAGUUAUGCAUACCUCCUCAUCUAAGACAAAUAGAAAACAAGGGUAACCAUGGUGAGAAAGAUGUUGACGACUUGGAUGGCGAACAGUGCAAAUGACGGAGGGAGUAACAAAGCUGUCCCUAAAGAGAUCACAUUUAAGCAGAAACCUGAAAGAAAUGAUUGAGCAUGUCAGGUAAGGAUCAGGGGAAAGAAGAUUCCAGGCAAA
rnacentral:lncRNA from 1 species